rnacentral:lncRNA from 1 species
AAAGAAACAGAAGUUUCACUGAGCUCUUUCAUCUAAUUUUGUUCUAAUUGUUAAAUGAAAAGUCUGAGAGGAGCACCUUGGGAAUUUUAUGCCAAUAAAAAAGAGUGGUGUGAUCCCAUUUGCAAAAUUUAAUCCUAAAGGUACUCAGAUCACAAAUAGAAUAAAAAGAAUAAUAGCAACCAAGAAUAGAAAUCAAGCACCUAUGGGGACAGACAUGAUAUAAAAUUCUGAUUUUCAUUUGUGCUAAAUGACUACAAUAUAGGUAAUGAGCAGGAAGUUUGGCAUGGAUUAAAUUAUGUAUUUCAGUUCAGACUUUAGAAUUCGGUAAAUGCAUAUUAAGUCCUCAAUGUACAUUUUUUCCCCUAACUUCCUCUAUGUCCCUGAUCAUGACAAAACUGAAUUCUGGAAAAAGAAAUCUCUUUUACAUUAAAAUCUG